rnacentral:rRNA from 1 species
GACGAAUGCUGGCUGCGUGCUUAACACAUGCAAGUCGAACGGUGAAAGGGAGCUUGCUCCCUGGAUCAGUGGCGAACGGGUGAGUAACACGUGGGCAACCUGCCCCUCACUCUGGGAUAACUCCGGGAAACCGGGGCUAAUACCGGAUACGACCUGGUGCGACAUCGCACCGGGUGGAAAGAACUUCGGUGAGGGAUGGGCCCGCGGCCUAUCAGCUUGUUGGUGGGGUAACGGCCCACCAAGGCGACGACGGGUAGUCGGCCUGAGAGGGCGACCGGCCACACUGGGACUGAGACACGGCCCAGACUCCUACGGGAGGCAGCAGUGGGGAAUAUUGCGCAAUGGGCGAAAGCCUGACGCAGCGACGCAGCGUGAGGGACGAAGGCCUUCGGGUUGUAAACCUCUUUCAGCGGGGACGAAGCGAAAGUGACGGUACCCGCAGAAGAAGCACCGGCUAACUACGUGCCAGCAGCCGCAGUAAAAC